UAGUGAAAAAACAAUGUGUAAAUGAAUUGUUGCUUUAUUUUUCAAAUUAUUUUUAUAAUUAUUAGGGCUGCGUAACGCAUUGGAGAUAUGAUAAACUGCAAGCCAGACAUCUCACAGGCGAAUUGAUCUAGCACUGAUCUUGUAGACCAGCGAUCGGCAAAGUACGGCUUGCGAGCCGCAUGCGGCUCUUUGCUUGGUUUAGCUAUUUGGCUCUUCACCUGGCUCUUUCGGUCGCAAAGUUUGCCAUCAUCACGAUCACUGAUCAUGAAGCUAUUUUUCUCUACGAGGUUCGAGGUCCAGGAAUUGAGUUCGAACCUACUACAGUCUAGGAACACAUCACGAUACUCUCUUGAUCCCAAAUUUGAAUUGUUCCUAAAUAUAUCCUUAUUCUAAAAUAGUAAUGAUCCCAUCCAAAUCUAGCAAUAACUAGACAGAACGGGCUCUUACGAUUAUUUAAUUUUAUGUUCCUUUAACUUCUCUCAUGCAUAAGCAAUACGGCAAAACCGUCCCUCCUGAAUAAAAAAAAAUUCUCUCACGCUCUCCCACUACACACUUUAGCAGGAGUGGUCGCUUAGGGCCAUAAUUUGCUUUAAUUUAUCAAUGUCCACAGGAAUUUGUGUACAUUUUAUACACUUGCGAGGAUGAUUGAUGUAUUUGAAGUGGCUUCUAAAUACUGCUACUUGUGCUAUGGCUUACGAUUUAAGCUGUCAUGACAGCCUACGGGCUUUCUAUUCUUAUUUUAGCACGCACCGUGAUCCACUUAGGAAUUCAUCCUACACCCGUUCCAUUCCUUCACUUGUUUAUUAAUUCAUCGUAUAUUCGCCAUUUUAUCAGUUAAUACCAACAUGAUUUAAUUCAGUCUUACCAUUCAUUCAAAAUGAAAUGCAUACUUCCAAACACUUUGAAUAUUUUCUUCAAAAUUUCAACCAUUCUCAGAAUGGCUUGAAACAGCUGAUUUCAUUGAAGCAUUGGUGACUUCAUGCUACGCUAUUUCCUCUGCUCGUUAGAAUUGUAAAACACAUUCACACCGAAAUAACACGUUCUAGGCCAUCACAUAGAACGCACCAUUUGUCAUCAAUACCCGCCAGCGGCAUGUGUACUAAAUUAGUCAAGCUGUGCAAACGAAUGCGCCACAACUGCACUGGCGUAAUGAACGAUACAACACAAGUCGAACAAGCCCGUCGGUUAGCGAGACUUAAAAGAACAAUCAACACGGUAUGAGGAUGAUUCACUUUUACCCACUUACCAACCAACUUGAAACCAUUUAUUUCAUUGAGAAACAGUUGCAGAAACCCAAGCCGUACUUUGAACAGCCAUCGCCAGAGCUUUUGCUCUGCUUUUACACUCCUCUACAUUUGGCUUGUGCUGUACCGCUGGGCACACUUAGAUAUGUGUGUGGCGGUGUGCUGAAUGGCAUUUUAUCAGUCCAUUUCGAUCGGCUUUAUCUACAAGGUGACAAUGUUCGAUUUCUGGCCGUUACUAAUUGAAGAUGAUUUGUCGGCUACCCCACUCUCAACAACUGCACACAUAAAUACACAUACACACACACCCUUGCGUAAGUUGGCGUGCGUCAUUGCGGUGCCGCAGUUACUACUGCUGGGUAGGAUUUGUCGGUGUUAAGCUAUAUAUUUGCGCGCUGAUUGUGUCCGAAAUUUGCGAUUAAUCGAUCAUUAUUGCAAAAAAAAUCAUGCAUUUUCGGAGCCAAUUUGGGGGAAGGAAGGUUGGACACGACACACAUAACACACACAUAAGCCUUUGGACGCCCCUUUUUCGUCUGUCGCGUUGUGGGUCUUUCCCAGGUCGAUGGUCGAUACAACAAACCUUAAUGGGUUUGAAGCUCUAUGUAAAGUUUUUAUGGCCACGCACUUGUACGUUCUGUGUAUGAGAGCACGGUCCAAAUGGGAAUCGAACCGUAUCCAGCUUUGUGGGAUUUUGUAUGCAUAUACCAUUACACCACUGGAGGCUUCUGACACCGGGUAAUAAACGUAGCAAUAAAAAUGUACAAGGUAACAAUAACCGCAAAGUACGUUUCAUUGUAAAAUCAUUAAAUCUAUAAUAUUAAUAUUAUUCAUGACUCGAAGAAAUCUUCCGCAUUAUAAAAGCUGCUCCAUUACCUCUCAGACACAAAUGAUCAUUGUCCUCUUAAGGUACCAGCAGCUUACAGCAUCUCAAUCCCGUAGACAAAGGUAACGAAACGAUUCCAUUACCAUCGAUUGUGACCCAGCGGCAGAUUAGAAACCCAGGCCAGAGAUGGCCAUCGCAAAACAAAAGGCAGCCCCACCGUACGAAAGCUCUUCAUUCACGACAACAGCCAGGAAAGCAGAUGCAAUCGAGUUGCAUGAGCUGGCCUUCGGAGGCGGACCUCUGCCCAUUCAACGCCACCGCUUCCGGAAACCGCCUUAAAUCGGACCAUUGCUUUCUUUGUUUUGCACGUGCAAUUCCUACCCCGCCGGACGCCGGCGUUGCGUGCAUCGUUGUUGGCCCCAACACAAUGUUACAUUUUGCAUGUAAUGCAAGCAGUAGCGACGCUAGAUUCCCAUGCCCACCACGCCCAUCCCCAUGCCCCGGUGCCCGUUUUGUUUUCCCACGGUAGCCCCACGGUUCGGUGCAUUGUUGCAAGCGUCGGUUUCGCGACGGCGGGAUGGUCCACCACCGUCGGAGCGGAUGGGAACUCGGUUCACAGUUUCAAGUGGGAAACUUUCAUUUUCGCGCCUCCACAUUGGAUCCACUUCAACACCUGUAAUGCUAACAGCUUGCUAAUCUAGACCAAUCUAAACCUAUUGUCGUGUCUCAGGGUACUAAGUGACUUUAAUCUCACGACAUCACACGUUGCGAGAGAUUCGCUGGAACUAUUGCGAGCAGCUAAUUGAGGCCUGGAAGGGGGAAUACUUGGUUAUGUUUUGCAAACAGACAUCAUCUUCACAGAUCACCGCAGCAGAGUAGUAUUUAAUGGGAGGUUCAACCUUGUGUGAAUGGUAGCGAUCUAUAAUUUGCCCCGUGCGCAACUCUCCUUAUCGGGUUGGUGCUUUUAAAACAAGCCGCCAGCGCACGAUAAGACGGAAUUCCUCAAACAAUAAUAAGAGCAAAAUACAGCGCCCCCACACCAAGCAAGGAGUCGCUCACGGUUGAGGACGUCGUGCUAACAUGGCCAGGUUGGCAACCAUUCUCGGUGUAGCUCGGUUCAUGGCUGUCCUUUAUCCUCCUCAUAUGCCUGAUGAUCCAACGUAUUCUUAACUAUUUUGUUUAAGUUUUUUUUUAAAGCCAGGAAUUGUCUGCUGUGUACAAACUUACUGUCUUAGAUGCUUUAGAAAGAUACGUUACAUAAUUGUUCAUUCUCUUUGAGAAGAAUUUUCUUAUCCUUUGUCCAAUUUGCACUUACAUGUUCGGACUGAUCACUAGCGGUAGAAAUCCUAAAGUAUAAAUGGCUCUAGAUCUUACAUACUCUACGUAUCCUUUAGAGCAGUUACCUUCACCCUAUGGUUCACGGACCACUUGUGCUCCGUAGUGUAAACAGACGUGUUCCGCGAAAAAUUGAUGGAAUAAACAAGUUUAUUGCAAUACAUA